GAUGAACGCUGACAGAAUGCUUAACACAUGCAAGUCAUUGGCGAAGCUGCGCUUGCGCAGUCUAGCCAAGGCGGACGGGUGAGUAACGCGUAAGGAACUUGCCCUGCAGACAGGGAUAACAGACGGAAACGACUGAUAACACCUGGUAUUGUCAGGCUGGCGCAUGCCGGCCUGAUGAAAGGAGACGCUGCAGGAGAGCCUUGCGUCCUAUUAGCUAGUUGGUGGGGUAACGGCCCACCAAGGCGAUGAGAGGUAGCCGGCCUGAGAGGGUGAACGGCCACAAGGGGACUGAGAUACGGCCCUUACUCCUACGGGAGGCAGCAGUGGGGAAUAUUGGACAAUGGGGGCAACCCUGAUCCAGCAAUUCUGUGUGCACGAAGAAGGUUUUCGGAUUGUAAAGUGCUUUCAGCAGGGAAGAAGAAAGUGACGGUACCUGCAGAAGAAGCGACGGCUAAAUACGUG
rnacentral:rRNA from 1 species